rnacentral:rRNA from 1 species
AACGAACGCUGGCGGCAGGCCUAACACAUGCAAGUCGAACGCUGUAGCAAUACAGAGUGGCAGACGGGUGAGUAACGCGUGGGAACCUUCCCAGUGGUGCGGAAUAGCUCAGGGAAACUUGAGGUAAUACCGCAUAAGCCCCUAGGGGGAAAGAUUUAUCGCCAUUGGAUGGGCCCGCGUCGGAUUAGCUAGUUGGUGAGGUAAUGGCUCUCCAAGGCAACGAUCCGUAGCUGGUUUGAGAGAAUGACCGGCCACACUGGGACUGAGACACGGCCCAGACUCCUACGGGAGGCAGCAGUGGGGAAUCUUGGACAAUGGGCGCAAGCCUGAUCCAGCCAUGCCGCGUGAGUGACGAAGGCCUUAGGGUUGUAAAGCUCUUUUGCCGGGGACGAUAAUGACGGUACCCGGAGAAUAAGUCCCGGCUAACUUCGUGCCAGCCGCCGCAGUAAAAC